GGCCCGCAUAGAGAAGAUCACGCUCGGCGCCGAUGGCGCGCCCAAGGGGACGGCGCCGCUCGACGUCGAGUGAUCCCGAUCACUUGCGGAUCG
rnacentral:tRNA from 1 species